GUGGGGAAUAUUGGACAAUGGGCGAAAGCCUGAUCCAGCCAUGCCGCGUGUGUGAAGAAGGUCUUCGGAUUGUAAAGCACUUUAAGUUGGGAGGAAGGGCAGUAAGCUAAUACCUUGCUGUUUUGACGUUACCGACAGAAUAAGCACCGGCUAACUUCGUGCCAGCAGCCGCGGUAAUACGAAGAGUGCAAGCGUUAAUCGGAAUUACUGGGCGUAAAGCGCGCGUAGGUGGUUUUGUAAGUUGAAGGUGAAAUCCCCGGGCUCAACCUGGGAACUGCCUCCAAAACUGCAUGACUAGAGUACGGUAGAGGGUAGUGGAAUUUCCUGUGUAGCGGUGAAAUGCGUAGAUAUAGGAAGGAACACCAGUGGCGAAGGCGACUACCUGGACUGAUACUGACACUGAGGUGCGAAAGCGUGGGGAGCAAACAGGAUUAGAAACCCGAGUAGUCC
rnacentral:rRNA from 1 species